rnacentral:rRNA from 1 species
UACGUAGGCAGCGAGCGUUGUUCGGAGUUACUGGGCGUAAAGAGUGCGUAGGCGGUUUUCUAAGUUUGGUGUGAAAUCUCCCGGCUUAACUGGGAGGGUGCGCCGAAGACUGGAAGGCUUGAGUAUGGGAGAGGUAAGCGGAAUUCCUGGUGUAGCGGUGAAAUGCGUAGAUAUCAGGAGGAACACCUGCGGUGUAGACGGCUUACUGGACCAUAACUGACGUUGAGGCACGAAAGCCAGGGGAGCAAACGGG